rnacentral:rRNA from 15 species
AGUCAAGUAAUUAAGUGCAUGUGGUGGAUGCCUUGGCAGUCAGAGGCGAUGAAAGACGUGAUAGCCUGCGAAAAGCUCCGGGGAGGCGGCAAAUAUCCUUUGAUCCGGAGAUGUCUGAAUGGGGGAACCCACCUACUUUAAGGUAGGUAUUGCAACAUGAAUACAUAGUGUUGCAAGGCGAACGAGGGGAAGUGAAACAUCUCAGUACCCUUAGGAAAAGAAAUCAAUUGAGAUUCCCUCAGUAGCGGCGAGCGAACGGGGAUCAGCCCAUUAAGUUAUGUGUGUUUUAGUGGAACGCUCUGGGAAGUGCGAACGUAGAGGGUGAUAUUCCCGUACACGAAAGGGCACACAUAAUGAUGACGAGUAGGGCGAGGCACGUGAAACCUUGUCUGAAUAUGGGGGGACCAUCCUCCAAGGCUAAAUACUCCUGACUGACCGAUAGUGAACCAGUACCGUGAGGGAAAGGCGAAAAGAACCCCUGUGAGGGGAGUGAAAUAGAUCCUGAAACCGCAUGCAUACAAGCAGUGGGAGCACCUUCGUGGUGUGACUGCGUACCUUUUGUAUAAUGGGUCAGCGACUUAUAUUCAGUAGCGAGGUUAACCGUAUAGGGGAGCCGUAGAGAAAUCGAGUCUUAAUAGGGCGUUUAGUUGCUGGGUAUAGACCCGAAACCAGGCGAUCUAUCCAUGAGCAGGUUGAAGGUUGGGUAACACUAACUGGAGGACCGAACCCACUGUCGUUGAAAAGCCAGGGGAUGACUUGUGGAUAGGGGUGAAAGGCUAAUCAAGCCUGGUGAUAGCUGGUUCUCCCCGAAAGCUAUUUAGGUAGCGCCUCGGACGAAUACCAUAGGGGGUAGAGCACUGUUUCGGCUAGGGGGUCAUCCCGACUUACCAAACCGAUGCAAACUCCGAAUACCUAUGAGUACUAUCCGGGAGACAGACUGCGGGUGCUAACGUCCGUAGUCAAGAGGAAAACAAUCCAGACCGCCAGCUAAGGCCCCAAAAUCAUAGUUAAGUGGGAAACGAUGUGGGAAGGCAUAGACAGCUAGGAGGUUGGCUUAGAAGCAGCCACCCUUUAAAGAAAGCGUAAUAGCUCACUAGUCGAGUCGGCCUGCGCGGAAGAUGUAACGGGGCUAAAACUAUGUGCCGAAGCUGCGGAUGUAUACUUUGUAUACGUGGUAGGGGAGCGUUCUGUAAGCCGAUGAAGGUGUGUUGAGAAGCAUGCUGGAGGUAUCAGAAGUGCGAAUGCUGACGUGAGUAACGACAAAACGGGUGAAAAACCCGUUCGCCGAAAGACCAAGGGUUCCAGUCCAACGUUAAUCGGGGCUGGGUGAGUCGACCCCUAAGGCGAGGCCGAAAGGCGUAGUCGAUGGGAAAAUGGUUAAUAUUCCAUUACUUCUGUGUAAUGCGAUGAGAGGACGGAGAAGGCUAAAUCAGCCUGGCGUUGGUUGUCCAGGUGAAAGGAUGUAGGCAUGUAUCUUAGGCAAAUCCGGGGUACUCUAUGCUGAGAUCUGAUAGCAAGCUGUACUUGUACAGCGAAGUGGUUGAUGCCAUGCUUCCAGGAAAAGUCUCUAAGCUUCAGUUACACAGGAAUCGUACCCGAAACCGACACAGGUGGUCAGGUCGAGUAGACCAAGGCGCUUGAGAGAACUCUGCUGAAGGAACUAGGCAAAAUGGUACCGUAACUUCGGGAGAAGGUACGCUGUUGUUGGUGAUGGAACUCGCUUCCUGAGCUGACGACAGCCGCAGAAACCAGGCCGCUGCAACUGUUUAUUAAAAACAUAGCACUCUGCAAACACGAAAGUGGACGUAUAGGGUGUGAUGCCUGCCCGGUGCUGGAAGGUUAAUUGAUGGGGUUAGCGUAAGCGAAGCUCUUGAUCGAAGCCCCAGUAAACGGCGGCCGUAACUAUAACGGUCCUAAGGUAGCGAAAUUCCUUGUCGGGUAAGUUCCGACCUGCACGAAUGGCAUAAUGAUGGCGGCGCUGUCUCCAGCAGAGGCUCAGUGAAAUCGAAAUCGCUGUGAAGAUGCAGUGUACCCGCGGCUAGACGGAAAGACCCCGUGAACCUUUACUGCAGCUUGACACUGAACUUUGACCUUACUUGUGUAGGAUAGGUGGGAGGCUUUGAAGCUGGAACGCUAGUUCCAGUGGAGCCGUCCUUGAAAUACCACCCUGGUAAUGUUGAGGUUCUAACUCUGUCCCGUGAUCCGGGACGAGGACCGUGUCUGGUGGGUAGUUUGACUGGGGCGGUCUCCUCCUAAAGAGUAACGGAGGAGUACGAAGGUGCGCUCAGCGUGGUCGGAAAUCACGCGUAGAGUAUAAAGGCAAAAGCGCGCUUAACUGCGAGACCCACAAGUCGAGCAGGUACGAAAGUAGGUCUUAGUGAUCCGGUGGUUCUGUAUGGAAGGGCCAUCGCUCAACGGAUAAAAGGUACUCUGGGGAUAACAGGCUGAUACCGCCCAAGAGUUCAUAUCGACGGCGGUGUUUGGCACCUCGAUGUCGGCUCAUCUCAUCCUGGGGCUGAAGCAGGUCCCAAGGGUAUGGCUGUUCGCCAUUUAAAGAGGUACGCGAGCUGGGUUUAGAACGUCGUGAGACAGUUCGGUCCCUAUCUACCGUGGGCGCUGGAAAUUUGAGAGGAUCUGCUCCUAGUACGAGAGGACCAGAGUGGACGAACCUCUGGUGUACCGGUUGUGACGCCAGUCGCAUCGCCGGGUAGCUAUGUUCGGAAGGGAUAACCGCUGAAAGCAUCUAAGCGGGAAGCCUACCUCAAGAUAAGAUUUCCCUAGGACUUUAUGUCCUCUAAAGAGCCGUUCGAGACUAGGACGUUGAUAGGUUGGAUGUGGAAGCAUAGUGAUAUGUGAAGCUGACCAAUACUAAUUGCUCGUGAGGCUUGACUAUACAACACCCA